rnacentral:rRNA from 1 species
GACGAACGCUGGCGGCGUGCUUAACACAUGCAAGUCGAACGGAAAGGCCUGCUUUCCCUUGUGGAUUGCGGGUACUCGAGUGGCGAACGGGUGAGUAACACGUGAGUGAUCUGCCCCCAACUUGGGUAUAAGCCUGGGAAACUGGGUCUAAUUCCCGAUAGGACUGCAGGGUGGUGCCUGUGGUGGAAAACGAUUUUCUAGUGGUUGGGGAUGAGCUCGCGGCCUAUCAGCUUGUUGGUGGGGUAAUGGCCUACCAAGGCGGCGACGGGUAGCCGGCCUGAGAUGGUGGACGGCCACAUUGGGACUGAGCUACGGCCCAGACUCCUACGGGAGGCAGCAGUGGGGAAUAUUGCACAAUGGGCGGAAGCCUGAUGCAGCGACGCCGCGUGGGGGAUGACGGCCUUCGGGUUGUAAACUCCUUUCGACCGCGAGGAAGCCACCUGGUUGGAAGGGUGGUGACGGUAGUGGUAGAAGAAGCACCGGCUAACUACGUG